AUAUUUUUCAAACCAUAUUUCUGCUUUGGGAUUUUGACUUUCAAAGUUAUGGAACAUGUCUGGAUAUACCGCAUACUCGCCUACUGGGAUUACCUGAACAUACCAGGAAAUGAACAGAGAAAUUUGAAGAUGUUGUCAAUCAACAAUUUUGUUACCUGAAUUAGAAAAUCUCAAACCACCAGAGAAGAGUUUUAUCAGGAUGGAUUGCGCAACAUAGAGGAAACUUCAAGAUGAAAUCUACAACUGGUUUCCAAUGUAAAAUGUCUCGUUACUACCUGAGAAGUUUCAUCAUGAACGAUGGACAGGUUUCCUUGGUUGGACUUCGUACUGUCAAAAAUAAGGAAACUUCAAGAUGAAAUCUACAAUUGGUUCCCAAUGUAAAAUGUCUCGUUACCGCCUGAGAAGUUUCAUCAUGAACGAUGGACAGGUUCCUAGGUUCGACUUCGUACUGUCAAAAAUAAGGAAACUUCAAGAUGAAUUCUACAACUGGUUUCCAAUGUAAAAUGUCUCGUUACCGCCUGAGAAGUUUCAUCAUGAACGAUGGACAGGUUUCCUUGGUUGGACUUCGUACUGUCAAAAAUAAGGAACUUCAAGAUGAAAUCUACAAUUGGUUUUCAAUGUGAAAUGUCUUGGCAGUUUCAUCAUGAACGAUGGACAUGUCUCCUAUGUUGGACUUUGUACUGUCAAAAAUAAGGAUAUUUGAAGAUGUUAUCAAUCAGCAAUUUUGUUCUUGAAUUAUAAAAUCUCAAACUGCCACGAAGAAGUCUCCUGGAUUGCCCAACAUAAGAGGUAGAUGCUUUUGUUAUUUGAUUCUGGGAAAAAGUUGAUGAGACCGUUUGUCUGGUUUGUGUCAAAGCUCUUUAUGGAAAUAGCAAACCAGCAUUCGCCAUCUUGGUGCACAUACUUCUGGAGCGCUGAAUAAUAAUUUUUAUGAGACCUAUUUUGCUGAUGAUUUGUAUGGAGCUACUAUUUCUAGAAGGAUAUGAAGUUUUCUGAAAUUGCCAAUAUAUUAUAAAGAAUCUGUCAUCUCCAGUAAAGAAGACAAAUCACUCAGGAACAGACAUCAACCAAGAGUAGCUAGAUAUUUACAUGGAUCAUAUUGACGGCACCAAUAAGUAAUGAUAGUGAUACAUAUUUUUGGAAGGAUCAGAAUAUUCAAACUUGCCUUUAAAUCACACUUCAUUGGGAUGAUGGAUGUGGGGUUUAACCAGAGAUCUUUACCUACGACAUAAUUAUAGUUUGUUUUGAACCACUCCACAGAACAAAAGAAUUUAACGUAAAUUCCACCCAAUUUUUGAACUUUGUUUUUCACCUAUUGUCAAGUUGGGUUGCUGUGAGUUUCUCAAAAUCUGAUUCAUAUGAAGGUAUUGAUCUCUAGUUUUCUAUUGAGUUAGCAAAUUAAUUUUAAUUAUAUUUUCAAAUUCCUAAAAUCUGUACACUUUAAACCUUACUUGAGGUUUCGUUUGCUUUUCAGAUUCUUUAGUCAGUUUUAUUUAUUUUUAUCAAUUAUUUUAUCGUCUAUUGCUGAUUAUGGAGUCGAAAUAAACUCAAACUUCCGCAAUAAGUAAUAAAAUGUAUCAAACUUGUGGUGUUAACUGCUAAUCGCAAAUUAUGGUUGGAGAGCAAACAGACUUUUGGUUGGGUUGAAAAAAAAACAAGAUUGAAAGAAUAUUAGGAUUUUACAUAUUUAUCCUGGGGGAGAGGAAAGCUGAUAAAACGACUGAACAAUAUGUCGAACCACAGCAUCUCGUCCAGUUACCAUUCCAUGUCGGGUGUGGGAUUAGUUAAGUUAUUUUAGUUUUCGGAAGCAUGGACUUGAUGGUGGAGGAAGCCGUAACCGACCAGCGGUUAUGUGAACCACCCUACGAACCUAACCUAUUAGAAUAAGAAUUUGAAGCAUUUGUUUGGUUUCCUAAUAAACACCCAUUCCACCGACUUUGUGGAGUUCGCUCUCGUUGUAGACCAAAUAAAUCUGAAUAUUCAGCCAUAUUUCAAGCAUUUUCAUAUUGUAUCUCGAUUUGCCCCUUUCAACAAGGCUUUUAAAAGAAGCAACAUAUUCUUCAGAUUUUUAAUUGAGCCGCCACGUGCUAUUGGAAGAAUUUAUGUUUUUCUUGGAUUAGGAUGAAUCAGUCUAUGUUGAGUUAUUGUUCAACCUAUUGUGUUUUUGAUUUUAAUACAUUU